rnacentral:rRNA from 1 species
GAUCCUGGCUCAGGAUGAACGCUAGCGACAGGCUUAACACAUGCAAGUCGAGGGGCAGCGGGGAGUAGCAAUACUCUGCCGGCGACCGGCGCACGGGUGAGUAACGCGUAUGCAACUUGCCUAUCAGAGGAGAAUAGCUCAUCGAAAGAUGAAUUAAUGCUCCAUGAAACAGGGGUCCCGCAUGGGAAUAUUUGUUAAAGAUUCAUCGCUGAUAGAUAGGCA